GACGAACGCUGGCGGCGUGCUUAACACAUGCAAGUCGAACGGUGAAGCGCCUUCCUUUUUGGUGGGUGUGGAUGAGUGGCGAACGGGUGAGUAACACGUGAGUAACCUGCCCCCUUCUUCUGGAUAACCGCAUGAAAGUGUGGCUAAUACGGGAUAUUCUGGGUCUGUCGCAUGAUGGGUCUGGGAAAGAUAUUGUUUCGGUGGGGGAUGGGCUCGCGGCCUAUCAGCUUGUUGGUGGGGUGAUGGCCUACCAAGGCGGUGACGGGUAGCCGGCCUGAGAGGGUGGACGGUCACACUGGGACUGAGACACGGCCAAGACUCCUACGGGAGGCAGCAGUGGGGAAUAUUGCACAAUGGGCGCAAGCCUGAUGCAGCGACGCCGCGUGAGGGAUGGAGGCCUUCGGGUUGUGAACCUCUUUCGCCAGUGAAGCAGGCCUGCCUCGUUUGUGGGUGGGUUGACGGUAGCUGGAGAAGAAGCGCCGGCUAACUACGUG
rnacentral:rRNA from 1 species